UACGGAGGGUGCAAACGUUGUUCGGAAUUAUUGGGCGUAAAGGGUGCGUAGGCGGUUUGGUAAGUCUUGUGUGAAAUCUACAGGCUCAACUUGUAGUCUGCACGAGAAACUGCCGGGCUUGAGUAUGGGAGAGGUGAGUGGAAUUCCUGGUGUAGCGGUGAAAUGCGUAGAUAUCAGGAGGAACACCUGUGGCGAAAGCGGCUCACUGGACCAUAACUGACGCUGAUGCACGAAAGCUAGGGGAGCAAACAGG
rnacentral:rRNA from 1 species